AUUGAACGCUGGCGGCAGGCUUAACACAUGCCAGUCGAGCGAGCGGCGGACGGGUGAGUAAUGUCUGGGAAACUGCCUGAUGGAGGGGGAUAACUACUGGCAACGGUAGCUAAUACCGCAUACCAUCAGAUGUGCCCAGAUGGGAUUAGCUAGUAGGUGGGGUAAUGGGUCACCUAGGCUACGAUCCCUAGCUGGGCUGAGAGGAUGGCCAGACACACGUGAACGGAGACACGGUCCAUGCUCCUACGUGAGGCAGCAGGGGGGAAUAUUGCACAAUGGGCGCAAGCCUGAUGCAGCCAUGCCGCGUGUGUGAAGAAGGCCUUUGGGUUGUAAAGAACUUUCAGCGAGGAGGCGUUACUCGCAGAAGAAGCACCGGCUAACUCCGUGCCAGCAGCCGCGGUAAUAC
rnacentral:rRNA from 1 species